GUCAUAGCUCAGUAGGUAGAGCGCUACAUUGGUAAUGUAGAGGUCGGGGGUUCAAAUCCCCCUG
rnacentral:tRNA from 1 species